rnacentral:rRNA from 1 species
UCGAAACCUGCCCAGCAGAACCACCGGCGCACUUGUCACACGAAACACGGGGGAUGCAGGCUGGUCCUGCUCCUACUCCGCGGCGCGGUCGGGGCUCCUGCCGUGCCCCUCUACCCAGUAGGGGCACCUGCAGGAGAACCGGGGCUCCGUCCCAACAUCAUCCGGCGCGGAAUGCGUAAAGGAAUAAGAAUGUGAAAACACGCCCUCCGUUCGUGCUCGAAUAUUCGACGGAACGGAGCGGCCGUGUGUAGUAUUAACAAGAAUCCCGUGAACCAUCGAGUCUUUGAACGCAAGUUGCGCCCGAAGCCAUUUGGUCGAGGGCACGUCUGCCUGGGCGUCACGCAACACGUCGCACCCAAUGCCUUUGCACUCACAACGGGUGCCUCGGUCGUCGGGGCGGAGAUUGGCCUCCCGUGUGCCUGCCGGCGCGCGGUUGGCCUAAAGAGGGAGAUCAUGGCGACGAGGGCCACGGCGUUAGGUGGUUGGUUGUCCCGGGCUUUAUCCCGGGCGCGGAUCACGCCGUGCGCCUUAGGCCGUCCGUGCUUCUCGUAGGGCCUUGAAGAAGCCGCUCGUACGGCUUUACGGAU